AAUCUCGAAUAAUCAGAUGACAGGUUGAACCGAAAUAGAAAAGAAAAGAGAAACCCCAAAGAACACAACGUUAACAAGAAGCUGACUCAUACGGCUGCCUAAACAAAUUACCUUUCCCAGACAAGCAAAAUAAACCAUUCAAGGACUGCCCUUGAGGUCGGAGUUGGAAUAAUAAAGUGAACCCAAGUUCCAGCAAAAGAUCUGACAAUACUCACCAUAUCUCCUAAAUCUCUUAGACAUUAUUUGAGAAUUAAUUUUUUAAGAAAAAUUACUUAUGUGGUAUCACCACAAUUAUUUUCACUAGAAAAAGAUGACAUGUCUUAGUGAAAACGAUGACAUGUUUUAAUUCUUAUUAUGACAUGUCACAUUUUAUUUAUGAAGUUUUACAUUUUUGUCAAAAAAAAAUUUAUUAAAAAAAAGUUUUACAUAUUUAGUAAGAUGCUUUAAAUAUAAUAAUAACUGAUGAGUAUCAACACUAAUGAAAAUUUUAAAUUAACAACAUAAUUAUAAAUAUGUUUUUUACAUUAGCAUAGAAUUGAAAAAUAAAAUUAUGUAAAUGUUUAUAUUUUUCAAAAUUAAUUGUGAAUAUAGUUGAUAUUUUUUGUCAGCAUUUGUUAAUUAAGUUACAUAGUCAACAUGAGUCUGUAAUUCUUUUGCUGUAAAAAAAAAGAGUUAAUUAAUUGUUUGAAUUAUGGUUUAAUUCAUUAAUUGGUAUGAAAAAAUCUAAUCAAAUUAAAAAAAUUAGUAAAUUUAUUUGUAAAUGAUUACCAUAAAAUAUUUCAAUAUUUCAAUUUAUAUGGAAGGUUUUCAUUUAUCCUUAGAAAAUAGUUUCAAUUUUUUUAACAAAUAAGAAAUUUUUUUUAUCUUAACUGUUAUUGUUAAAUAAUAAUGAAAUAGAAGAUAGCAAAAAGAAAAGUUCGAUUCACCCAACUGAGAAGAGUGAUGGGUCGACAAAAAAAACAGAGAAGAGUGAGGCUAGACUUUUUAGUGACAGUUUGUAACGACAAAUUGGUGGUUGUUAAUUAACGUAUUGUUGAAUUUCAAUUUACUUGUGAAAUGCUAUUUAUUGGAGGACGGAACAUCAUAAUGAAGAUGCCGAUAGGCGAUAUAUGGUUAUGAUUACGACUUUAGAGGUGAGGAUGAAAAAGGGGCUGACGUGCUGCAGAUACUAUCUGAUGGUGGAAUAUACAACUUCAAUUUUGAAGACAAGCUCAAAAUCGACUGAGACCGUGAAUUUCUUUUUCUUUUUAUAAUGAAAUCGUCGUUAUUUGUGAACAAUAUUUUUAUAUAUAAUUCAAACUAUUUCAGAGUAUUAGCUUUUAUCUCUUAUAGAGAUAUUAGAACGUAUAUGCAUGGAAAUCUCUAAAAUUAGGCAAAUGCCAUGUUACUGCUCCAUUUUAUUUUAAUACCAUUACACCCCUACAUCUUAACACGUUUAUCCUAUCGUCUACACUGCCUAUGGUGUCAGAAGAUAUUACUAGACCAUCUUAUUUACACAAAAUGUCUUGAAAGGUUUCGAAACCUCUUUAAUUUAUUUUAAAUAUUAAAAAUUUAAUGACAGGAAGAGCAAAUGAAGUUUCAUUUUCCGGAAGCUUCGGCCAGUCCGUGGUGGUGUGAAUCCUCUGAGUUCUGUAAAAAGUUCGAGAUUUGCUUUCUCUUCGCCGGGAGGCCCCUCAGGAUGUCAUUGCAUGAUUUUUCCCAAGUUACAGGCCUUAAUUGCAGCAAGAUUCCGAAGAAAAACAUCAGAAGGAAGAAGAACCCCAUCAUAGAGAAGCAGUAUUGGGAGGAAUUAAUUGCAGGAAGAGUCCACCCGAUGAACUCUUCUUCAAAGAUGACCAGUAUGAUGUUCGUCAAAGAUGACAAAUAUGAGAAGAAGUUGGGAGUCACGCCAUCAUAGUGACAAAUAAGAACAUCAAACACAUCGUUUGGCUUUCGUUGGUCCCAAAGGUGGUGGUUAACUUGGAGGCAUCUUGAUAACAUUUAUGUUAGCUAACAUUUUCUUAGUUACUUGUUUUAUCUAUGUGUAAGAAGAUAUUAAUUCAUGCUCAUCUAAAAUAAAAGACUUGAUUUAUGUUAUAUUAUUAGCAUAUAAUAUUAAUACUUAACUAACAAUAUAUUUACUAACACACUUAGAGAUUACAUGCUUUGUAUACAAUCACUAACUCUCACACUUCUCUAGCCUCUCUAGUUUCACUCGGAUGUAUAGUAAUGCAUAACCACUAAUAUUUGAUUUAACAGUUAAGACGAUUGUUAGCCGUUAAUAUCAUAAGUGUAACAAAAUUGGGUUCAUCCUUUGUCAUAUGCCCUUCAGAAGAAAUUACUGACAUUUAACUUUAAUUAUAGACCAGUGACAAAUCGUCAUCAACACAUAUACGUAAAAACUGUAGCCACUAUUGAUCUAAUUAACAAUUACGAUCAUGCGAUAAGUAUGAACAAUGUCAACGAUAAAAUAUAAUGUAACAGAUAACAUGUUAAUUAUACAUACGGAAUAUUAUAACAGGUAACUUUGUUGUUUUCGAUCGUGUGAUGAAUACACUGGUUCACAAGAUGUACAUGAAUCUCUUAAGCUCCUUUGAAAUCACAAAAUAUAAAUGAUCGUCUUUUCCAAUUCGACAUGACUUCUACUGAAACUCUACGACGAGGAUAGACGGUGUAUGAUGACGAUGAUAUAUAAUUAACUUUCUAUGAAAAUAGUAAAAAAAAAAGAUUAUUUGUGGCUGAGAAUCACUUACUAUUAAGAACAGAUAAUGACAGCUACCUAGUAGAAAGCUAGCCGCCUAUUUAGCAAGUGGAGUAAAAGGCAAUAUAGAAAUCUAGGAUUGUACUUGUGCAGAUUACACCGAAUCAAAACAUGCUUGCCUUACGUGUCCGGACUAUAGGGGUAAAAGGGGGAUGGGGGACGCAAAUAUCUACAGUUCUGAAGGGUUUUUUUUGCUUUCGGGUACUUUCUUAAUUUCACACCGAUUUAGGUAUAUUAGUCCAAUUGUCUCUUUAUUAUAUAUAUGUGCUUUAAUGUAGGAAACUUGUAUGUAUUUCUACUUUUUAUAUCAAAAGAUUUUGUCUUGAGAAUCUUCCACACCAGCCUGAUAUUAUUUUUCCAUAACUUUUUCGUGUAGUACAAUAUUGAUGGAGCAUCUCGUCGACACAAAUGCGUGUUAGCUUUUUAUUUUGCUUAGAUGAACCAGAUAAAUAUAAAGAUAUUAAAUUUAUUAAGCUGUAGAAUAAAUAAGCACUAACACGACAACAGUAAGAAGUAACAACAAGAGACAACACACCAUGAGA